UCAGGCCUAACACAUGCAAGUCGAACGGUAACGACACUAGCUUGCUAGUGGGCGACGAGUGGCGGACGGGUGAGUAACGCGUAGGAAUCAACCUAGUAGUGGGGGAUAGCCAAGGGAAACUUUGGGUAAUACCGCAUACGAUCUAAGGAUGAAAGGGGGCCUCUCUUUGAAGCUCUCGCUACUAGAUGAGCCUGCGUAAGAUUAGCUUGUUGGUGAGGUAAUGGCUCACCAAGGCGACGAUCUUUAGCUGGUCUGAGAGGAUGAUCAGUCACACUGGAACUGAGACACGGUCCAGACUCCUACGGGAGGCAGCAGUCGGGAAUAUUGGACAAUGGGGGAAACCCUGAUCCAGCCAUGCCGCGUGUGUGAAGAAGGCCCUAGGGUUGUAAAGCACUUUUAGUAGUGAGGAAGGUUCAGUAGUUAAUACCUGCUGGGAUUGACGUUAGCUACAGAAAAAGCACCGGCUAAUUUCGUGCCAGCAGCCGCGGUAAUACGAAAGGUGCAAGCGUUAAUCGGAAUUACUGGGCGUAAAGCGCGCGUAGGCGGCUUGGUAAGUUGGAUGUGAAAGCCCCGGGCUCAACCUGGGAACUGCAUCCAAAACUGCCUAGCUAGAGUAUGGUAGAGGAUGGCGGAAUUUCCUGUGUAGCGGUGAAAUGCGUAGAUAUAGGAAGGAACAUCAGUGGCGAAGGCGGCCAUCUGG
rnacentral:rRNA from 1 species